AUUGCACGCUGGCGGCAGGCCUAACACAUGCAAGUCGAGCGGAGCGGCGGACGGGUGAGUAAUGCCUAGGAAUCUGCCUGGUAGUGGGGGAUAACGUCCGGCAACGGGCGCUAAUACCGCAUACUAUCAGAUGAGCCUAGGUCGGAUUUGCUAGGUGGGGGGUUAAAGGCCUACCAAGGCGACGAUACGUAACUGGUCGGAGAGGAUGAUCAGUCACACUGGAACUGGGACACGGCCAAGAAUCCUACGGGAGGCAGCAGUGGGGAAGAUUGGACAAUGGGCGAAAGCCUGAUCCAGCGAUGCCGGGUGUGGGAAGAAGGUCUUCGGAUUGUAAAGCACUUUAAGUUGGGAGGCGUUACCAACAGAAUAAGCACCGGCUAACUUCGUGCCAGCAGCCGCGGUAAUAC
rnacentral:rRNA from 1 species